rnacentral:rRNA from 1 species
AUUCCCUUAGUAACUGCGAGUGAAGUGGGAAAAGCUCAAAUUUAAAAUCUGGCAGUCAUUUGGCUGUCCGAGUUGUAAUCUAGAGAAGUGUUGCCCGUGCUGGACCAUGUACAAGUCUCCUGGAAUGGAGCAUCACAGAGGGUGAGAAUCCUGUCUUUGACAUGGACUGCCAGUGCUUUUGUGGUAUGCUCUCAAAGAGUCGAGUUGUUUGGGAAUGCAGCUCAAAAUGGGUGGUAAAUGCCAUCUAAAGCUAAAUAUUGGCGAGAGACCGAUAGUGAACAAGUACCGUGAGGGAAAGAUGAAAAGAACUUUGGAAAGAGAGUUAAACAGUACGUGAAAUUGCUGAAAGGGAAACGCUUGAAGUCAGUCACGUUGACUUGGAAUCAGCUCUGCUUUUGCUGGGUGUACUUUCUUGUCAAUGGGUCAGCAUCAAUUUUGACCAUUGGAUAAAGUCAUUGGGAAUGUAGCAUCUUUAGAUGUGUUAUAGCCUGGUGAUGCAUACGGUGGUUGGGAUUGAGGAAUUCAGCACGCCACCAGGCCGGGUUUCGACCACGUUCGUGCUUAGGAUGCUGGCAUAAUGGCUUUAAUUGACCCGUCUUGAAACACGGACCAAGGAGUCUAACAUAUCUGCGAGUGUUUGGGUGGAAAACCCAUGUGCGUAAUGAAAGUGAAAGUUGAGAUCCCUUCUCAAGGGAGCAUCGACGCCCGGACCAGACCUUUUGUGACGGAUCCGCGGUAGAGCAUGUAUGUUGGGACCCGAAAGAUGGUGAACUAUGCCUGAAUAGGGUGAAGCCAGAGGAAACUCUGGUGGAGGCUCGUAGCGAUUCUGACGUGCAAAUCGAUCGUCAAAUUUGGGUAUAGGGGCGAAAGACUAAUCGAACCAUCUAGUAGCUGGUUCCUGCCGAA